GGCUGUAACCUGCUGGCCCACUUCAUCAAUGCCUACCUGGUGGAUGACAGCGUGAGUGACACCCCAGGGGGGCUGGGAAACGACCAGAAUCCAGGUUCCCAGUUCAGCCAGGCCCUGGCCAUCCGGAGCUAUACCAAGUUCGUGAUGGGGAUUGCAGUGAGCAUGCUGACCUACCCCUUCCUGCUAGUUGGCGACCUCAUGGCUGUGAACAACUGCGGGUAGGUCUGGGCUCCCCCCUUACUCCCCAGUGUUCAAAUCCUGGAUUCACUGCUGGAAGUACCUGAGUGUGCAGGGCCAGCUCUUCCGAGGCUCCAGCCUGCUUUUCCGCCGGGUGUCAUCAGGAUCAUGCUUUGCCCUGGAGUAACCUGAAUCAUCUAAAAAACACGGUCUCAACCUGGCCACCGUGGGUGAGGCCUGACCACCUUGGGACACCUGCAAGACGACUCCAACCCAACAACAACCAGAUGUGCUCCAGCCCAGCCGGGCUUCAGUUCCAUAUUUGCCAUGUGUCUGUCCAGAUGUGGGGUUGAGCGGGGGUGGGGCUGCACCCAGUGGAUUGGGUCACCCGGCAGACCUAGGGAAGGUGAGGCGAGGUGGGGAGUUGGCAGAAUCCCCAUACCUCGCAGAUUUGCUGAGUCUGUCUUGUGCAGAGGGCCAGAGAAUGGCUUAUGGGGGCCCAGGUUGGAUGGGGAAAGGCUAAUGGGGUCAGACCCCACCCCGUCUACCCCUCCAGUCAGCCCAGCGCCCAUCCUGCAGCUCAGCUGGGAGCAUCAUUCUCCUGCUUUGUACAUAGGGUGUGGUCCCCUGGCACGUGGCCACCAUCAUGUCUAGGCCUAUGCUAGGAGGCAAAUGGCCAGGCUCUGCCUGUGUUUUUCUCAACACUACUUUUCUGAUAUGAGGGCAGCACCUGCCUCUGAAUGGGAAAUCAUGCAACUACUCAGAAUGUGUCCUCCUCAUCUAAUGCUCAUCUGUUUAAUGGUGAUGCCUCGCGUACAGGAUCUGGUUACCUGUGCAGUUGUGAAUACCCAGAGGUUGGGCAGAUCAGUGUCUCUAGUCCUACCCAGUUUUAAAGUUCAUGGUAAGAUUUGACCUCAUCUCCCGCAAAUAAAUGUAUUGGUGAUUU
rnacentral:lncRNA from 1 species